CCUACGGGAGGCAGCAGUGGGGAAUAUUGGGCAAUGGAGGCAACUCUGAACCAGCAACGCCGCGUGCAUGAAGACGGUUUUCGGAGUGUAAAGCUCUUUUCGUAGGGACGAAAAUACCGACACUUGCUUAGGGAUGAGACUCUGCUAACUACGUGCCAGCGGCCGCGGUAAUACGUCGGAGGCGAGCGUAAUCCGGAAUGACUGGGCGUACAGGGUGCGUAGGUGGUUCGGUAAGUUAGUAGCGUAACUCCGAGGCUCAACCCUGGAACUGCCACUAAGACUGUUGGGCUUGAGUGUAGGUGGGGUAGGCGGAAUGCAUGGUGUAGCGGUGGAAUGCGUAGAGAUCAGGCGGAACACCGGUUGCGAAGGCGGGUUGCCAGACUGUAACUGACGUUGAGGCACGAAAGCGUGGGGAGCAAACAGGAUUAGAUACCCUGGUAGUC
rnacentral:rRNA from 1 species